CGCCGAAGGUGGGGCUGAUGACUGGGGUGAAGUCGUAACAAGGUAGCCGUACCGGAAGGUGCGGCUGGAUCACCUCCUAACAGGGAGACAAAACUGAUUAUGAUGUCUGAUUAAAUUAUUAGGCCUUAAUCCUGUCACCUUAGGUCGAUCGGUACCUCAGAUUGAGAACUAAGAAAUAGGAAUUAAUUCUUAUAUUUUGUUUUCAGUUUUAGUUCCUAAACUUGUCUAGGUCACACCCAACAAAACUUUCUCCUGGGCUAUUAGCUCAGGCGGUUAGAGCGCACCCCUGAUAAGGGUGAGGUCCCUGGUUCAAGUCCAGGAUGGCCCAUUCGUUGUUGGGGGUAUAGCUCAGUUGGUAGAGCGCCUGCUUUGCAAGCAGGAUGUCAGCGGUUCGAGUCCGCUUACCUCCACUGAUCAACUACCUGAUAACUCAUUAUGGAGAUUGUUAUUUGUUAAAUGUGAUUUAGAUGUUGUUCAUCUGAAUGAACCUAGCUUCCUAUCAAACCUUGAUUAUUUUCUUGGCUGAUAAGACGCUGGGCUCACUGUUAUUCGAAAGAGUUUCAGUUUGAUUCAGCAGAACCUUGACAACUGCAUAGGAAAAACUAGAAAAAUAAAGCAUCUCAUAGAUGCAUAGGAAUUUGUAUUCAUUAACUUUGAUAUAAAUUUGCUAUGUUCAAUUCUUGAGUUAGAGCAUAAUUUCGAUUUAUAUCACAUAUAUAAUUCGAAUUAAUUGGUCAAGCUACAAAGGGCUCACG
rnacentral:misc_RNA from 1 species